UACGUAGGGGGCAAGCGUUGUCCGGAAUCAUUGGGCGUAAAGAGCGUGUAGGCGGCUCGGUAAGUCCGCUCUGAAAGCCCGGGGCUCAACCCCGGGAGGCGGGCGGAUACUGUCGGGCUAGAGUCCGGAAGAGGCGAGUGGAAUUCCUGGUGUAGCGGUGAAAUGCGCAGAUAUCAGGAGGAACACCAAUGGCGAAGGCAGCUCGCUGGGACGGUACUGACGCUGAGACGCGAAGGCGUGGGGAGCAAACAGG
rnacentral:rRNA from 1 species